AGCGAACGCUGGCGGCAGGCCUAACACAUGCAAGUCGAACGAGGCCUUCGGGCUUAGUGGCGGACGGGUGAGUAACACGUGGGAACGUACCUUUUGGUUCGGAACAACUCAGGGAAACUUGAGCUAAUACCGGAUGAGCCCUUAGGGGGAAAGAUUUAUCGCCGAAAGAUCGGCCCGCGUUGGAUUAGGUAGGUGGUGUGGUAAAGGCGCACCAAGCCUACGAUCCAUAGCUGGUCUGAGAGGAUGAUCAGCCACACUGGGACUGAGACACGGCCCAGACUCCUACGGGAGGCAGCAGUGGGGAAUCUUGCGCAAUGGGCGAAAGCUUGACGCAGCCAUGCCGCGUGAAUGAUGAAGGUCUUAGGAUUGUAAAAUUCUUUUACCAGGGACGAUAAUGACGGUACCUGGAGAAAAAGCCCCGGCUAACUUCGUGCCAGCAGCCGCGGUAAGAC
rnacentral:rRNA from 1 species